rnacentral:rRNA from 1 species
AUUGAACGCUGGCGGCAGGCCUAACACAUGCAAGUCGAGCGGCAGCGGGAAAGCAGCUUGCUACUUUUGCCGGCGAGCGGCGGACGGGUGAGUAAUGCCUGGGAAAUUGCCCAAUCGAGGGGGAUAACAGUUGGAAACGACCGCUAAUACCGCAUACGCCCUACGGGGGAAAGCAGGGGACCUUCGGGCCUUGCGCGAUUGGAUAUGCACAGGUGGGAUUAGCUAGUUGGUGAGGUAAUGGCUCACCAAGGCGACGAUCCCUAGCUGGUCUGAGAGGAUGAUCAGCCACACUGGAACUGAGACACGGUCCAGACUCCUACGGGAGGCAGCAGUGGGGAAUAUUGCACAAUGGGGGCAACCCUGAUGCAGCCAUGCCGCGUGUGUGAAGAAGGCCUUCGGGUUGUAAAGCACUUUCAGCGAGGAGGAAAGGUUGAUGCCUAAUACGUAUCAACUGUGACGUUACUCGCAGAAGAAGCACCGGCUAACUCCGUGCCAGCAGCCGCAGUAAGAC